AACCAGAAUACUCUCAACCAGAGCAAAAAGAAAAGAAAAGAAAAGAAAAAGCAAUCCAAUCACACCUUAUCUCAUCAAUUUCAAUUCUCUGCUCCUAAAUCCUUCCUGCAGUUUCUCUUCUGUCUUCUCCUUCUGUAUCUUAUAUCUUUAAACACAAUCACAUUAUUGCGAACGCCAAUAAGCAGUGUUCGAUAACAAACUUUAACAUAAUGGCAGAAGAAACAGAAGGUCGCUCUCGAUUCAAGCCAUGGCUUCUUCGUUUGGCUAUAGGAGACCGUGAAAAAGACUGGCAAUGAGAAACCACUUGUUGUUUACUCUAAAACUUGGUGCUCGUGAGUUUCGAUUUUCAUCCAUGUCAAUUCCAACCCAUUUUUUUUAUUUUAUUUUACAUUUUGAUUUGAUGAAGAUGUAUUUGAAACGUGGUACUGGUAAUUUUUGUUUUGAGGGUACUCUACUUAGGUGAAUACUUUGUUCAAGAGACUUGGCGUGGAGCCAUCGGUCUUUGAGUUAGACGAAAUGGGGGGCUAACACAUUGGUGGUUGUACAGGUACCUUUUACAUGCAAUUUCCUUCUUUUGUAUUGGUAUCCUUCUGAAGAAAACUUUCAACAUUUUGUGUUUGCUUUCUGUGUGCAACUUUAUUUAUCCAAUUGUUGCUACUAUAUUUAUUAUUAGAGAUGCAUCUUAGUUUUUUAUUGAGGUGGUUUCUACUUUCUAUAUGACCUCAUAAAGACUACCUCUUUUAGUCAUUACUAAUUUCCUAAUAGGAAAAAUGUAUGAUCUUCCAGAUGA